GAUGAACGCUAGCGGCAGGCCUAACACAUGCAAGUCGAGGGGUAGAAGUUGCUUGCAACUUUGAGACCGGCGCACGGGUGCGUAACGCGUAUGCAAUCUGCCUUGUACUGAGGGAUAGCCCAGAGAAAUUUGGAUUAAUACCUCAUAGCAUUAUGAUGUGGCAUCACAUUAUAAUUAAAGUUCCAACGGUACAAGAUGAGCAUGCGUCCCAUUAGUUAGUUGGUAAGGUAACGGCUUACCAAGACGAUGAUGGGUAGGGGUCCUGAGAGGGAGAUACCCCACACUGGUACUGAGGCACGGACCCGACUCCUACGGGAGGCAGCAGUGAGGAAUAUUGGUCAAUGGGCGCAAGCCUGAACCAGCCAUGCCGCGUGCAGGAUGACGCAUCUAUGGUGUGUAAACUGCUUUUGUACAGGAAGAAACACUCCCUCGUGAGGGAGCUUGACGGUACUGUAAGAAUAAGGAUCGGCUAACUCCGUGCCAGCCGCCGCGGUAA
rnacentral:rRNA from 1 species